AUUGAACGCUGGCGGCAGGCCUAACACAUGCAAGUCGAACGGUAGCACAGGAGAGCUUGCUCUCUGGGUGACGAGUGGCGGACGGGUGAGUGACACGUGGGCAACCUGCCUCAUAGAGGGGAAUAGCCUUCCGAAAGGAAGAUUAAUACCGCAUAAGAUUGUAGUACCGCAUGGUAUAGCAAUUAAAGGAGCAAUCCGCUAUGAGAUGGGCCCGCGGCGCAUUAGCUAGUUGGUGAGGUAACGGCUCACCAAGGCGACGAUGCGUAGCCGACCUGAGAGGGUGAUCGGCCACAUUGGGACUGAGACACGGCCCAGACUCCUACGGGAGGCAGCAGUGGGGAAUAUUGCACAAUGGGGGAAACCCUGAUGCAGCAAUGCCGCGUGAGUGAUGACGGCCUUCGGGUUGUAAAGCUCUGUCUUCGGGGACGAUAAUGACGGUACCCGAGGAGGAAGCCACGGCUAACUACGUGCCAGCCGCCGCCGUAA
rnacentral:rRNA from 1 species